rnacentral:rRNA from 1 species
UUCGAGUGGCGGACGGGUGAGUAACGCGUGGGUAACCUGCCUUACACAGGGGGAUAGCGCCGUGGAAACAGGUGCUAAUACCGCAUAAGCGCACAGGGCCGCAUGGCCCGGUGUGAAAAACUCCGGUGGUGUAAGAUGGACCCGCGUCUGAUUAGCUUGUUGGCGGGGUAGGGGCCCACCAAGGCGACGAUCAGUAGCCGGCCGUGAGAGGGUGGACGGCCACAUUGGGACUGAGACACGGCCCAAACUCCUACGGAAGGCAGCAG